GACGAACGCUGGCGGCGUGCUUAACACAUGCAAGUCGAACGGAAAGGCGCUGCUCUUGUGGGGUGCUCGAGUGGCGAACGGGUGAGUAACAUGUGAGUAACCUGCCCUUGACUUUUGUAUAACUUCAGGAAAUUGGGGCUAAUCUCGGACAGGAGCUCCUGCUGCAUGGUGGGGGUUGGAAAGGUUCGGCGGUUGGGGCUGGACUCGCGGCUUAUCAGCUCGUUGGUGGGGUAGUGGGUUACCAAGGCUUUGACGGGUAGCCGGCCUGAGAGGGUGACCGGCCACAUUGGGACUGAGAUACGGCCCAGACGCCUACGAGAGGCAGCAGUGGGGAAUAUUGCACAAUGGGCGGAAGCCUGAUGCGGCAACGCCGCGUGCGGGAUGACGGCCUUCGGGUUGUAAACCGCUUUCGCCUGUGACGAAGCGGGAGUGACGGUAAUGGGUAAAGAAGCACCGGCUAACUACGUG
rnacentral:rRNA from 1 species